AAUUCUCAAUCCUUCUGGCUUUUUCAAAGCUAGUCGGACUUGGAUUAUGGAAGUUGCUGGUUUUCACGAAUCAGCUCUUCUUAAAUAUAUUAGCAGUCCUUUGCUGACUGCCUUUGGUAUGAUAAUUAUCUAUAUCACUGGCAGGCAGCUUCCCUCGCGGAGAGGCUCUGCUUCUAAUCGUCUUUGAAGACAAUUUGAUUA
rnacentral:misc_RNA from 1 species